AUUGAACGCUGGCGGAAUGCUUUACACAUGCAAGUCGGACGGCAGCACGGACUUCGGUCUGGUGGCGAGUGGCGAACGGGUGAGUAAUGUAUCGGAACGUGCCCAGUCGUGGGGGAUAACGUAGUGAAAAUUACGCUAAUACCGCAUACGAUCUAUGGAUGAAAACGGGGGAUCGCAAGACCUCGCGCGAUUGGAGCGGCCGAUAUCAGAUUAGGUAGUUGGUGGGGUAAAGGCCCACCAAGCCAACGAUCUGUAGCUGGUCUGAGAGGACGACGAGCCACACUGGAACGGAGACGCGGUCCAGUCUCCUACGGGAGGCAGCGCUGGGGCAGUUUGGACAAUGGGCGAAAGCCUGACUCAGCCGUUCGGCGUGCAGGAUGAAGGCCCUCGGGUUGUAAACUGCUUUUCUACAGAACGAAAAGGUUUCUACUAAUACUAGGAGCUCAUGACGGUACUGUAAGAAUAAGCACCGGCUAACUACGUGCCAGCCGCCGCCGUAA
rnacentral:rRNA from 1 species